CUGUCGAUCUGUGUCUCGAAGAACAGAUAAUUACUUUAGUUUUGAUUUUUAGUUGUAGUUAUAAUUUGUGUUUUGCAGCUUGACCGAAAAUGGGGCGAUAAUAACAUACAAAAAUUGAAGUCUAAGGAGGUAGUGCAUACAUUGUCAUCUGGAUACGCUUUUAUUCUUUGUAUUGCUUUUUCGUAAUUAUGUUUUAUUAAGACGUAAUCGAUCUGACUUCGUAAUAUGUACCUAGCUAUUGUAGCUGUCCCUAUCUACUGGGGAUUUUCAUUGGAGGAUGCGCUUAGUAUGUUAGAAGAAGAUGAACAUUGAGUAGCAAAUGAAGACAUUAUUACUUUGAUGUCUCCAAUAAAUGCAUGUGAUGUCCUAACAGACAAAUACUCUGGUGAUGAAGAUAUAAUGUUGAUGGAUAAUUUACCUGGGUCGCAAUUACAAGCUUCUGCUGAAAUAAAUAUGCAAAAUAAUGAAGGUGACGCAUUAUUAUCUGAUUUCCAAGAUAAUAUUUCAUUACCAGAGCCGGGAGAAAAAAGAACAGUGAAGGGUGUAAACAGGGUCGCCACGUAACGAAGGGGCUCAAGGGUUGGUACUCAAGCAGCUCCUUAGGUCCUUGUUUAAAUAAAUACGACUUCAAUCUGAUAA